GAACAUUUGAAGAUCAAAAUGCAUUUGCCACUCCCAAUUUUUUGUGCAUCUGAUUCACCUAUAUAAGCUUUUGUAAUUCUGGUGGAGAGCAUCAUUUGAUUCACUGCAGUCAAAUAGUCUAACAAAAUGUUCAAACUGUUGUUUGUUGUCCUCGCUGCUUUGAUGGCUUUGGUUGCUGCUGAACCAUCUCCGUUACCAGGUCCGAACCCGGCUCCAGCCCCAGCUCCAGUACCAGGACCAAAACCAGCUGUACUGGCUUACACCGGAUAUUACCCCUAUGCUUAUUCCGCUCCUCUAUACUCUUCUGGAUAUUACAGUUACUAUUAAUCUAUGACAUUGCAAUAGAUUCCGGAUUUGAUGUAAUAAAAGGCUUAUAAUAUA